UACAGAGGUCUCAAGCGUUGUUCGGAUUCAUUGGGCGUAAAGGGUGCGUAGGCGGUGAAGUAAGUCGGGUGUGAAAUACCGGGGCUCAACCCCGGAACUGCACUCGAUACUGCUUUGCUCGAGGACUGGAGAGGAGACCGGAAUUCACGGUGUAGCAGUGAUAUGCGUAGAGAUCGUGAGGAAGGCCGGUGGCGAAGGCGGGUCUCUGGACAGAUCCUGACGAUGAGGCACGAAGGAUAGGGGAGCGAACGGG
rnacentral:rRNA from 1 species